rnacentral:rRNA from 1 species
UGGGGAAUUUUGGACAAUGGGCGAAAGCCUGAUCCAGCAAUGCCGCGUGUGUGAAGAAGGCCUUCGGGUUGUAAAGCACUUUUGUCCGGAAAGAAAUCCUCUGGGUUAAUACCUCGGGGGGAUGACGGUACCGGAAGAAUAAGCACCGGCUAACUACGUGCCAGCAGCCGCGGUAAUACGUAGGGUGCAAGCGUUAAUCGGAAUUACUGGGCGUAAAGCGUGCGCAGGCGGUUUUGUAAGACGGAUGUGAAAUCCCCGGGCUUAACCUGGGAACUGCAUUCGUGACUGCAAGGCUAGAGUAUGGCAGAGGGGGGUAGAAUUCCACGUGUANCAGUGAAAUGCGUAGAGAUGUGGAGGAAUACCGAUGGCGAAGGCAGCCCCCUGGGCCAAUACUGACGCUCAUGCACGAAAGCGUGGGGAGCAAACAGGAUUAGAUACCCUGGUAGUCCACGCCCUAAACGAUGUCAACUAGUUGUUGGGGAUUCAUUUCCUUAGUACGUAGCUAACGCGUGAAGUUGACCGCCU